rnacentral:rRNA from 1 species
UGAGUAAAGGGUGGAUGAUCUGCCCUUCGGCGGGGGAUAACUUCGCGAAAGUGGAGCUAAUACCGCGUACGGUUGUCCGGUUGGGACCGGACAAAGAAAGGCGCUUCUGGCGUCGCCGAAGGAUGAGUCCGCCUCCCAUUAGCCAGUUGGUGAGAUAACAGCCCACCAAGGCGACGAUGGGUAGCCGAGCUGAGAGGUUGAUCGGCCACACUGGAACUGAGACACGGUCCAGACACCUACGGGUGGCAGCAGUGCGGAAUCUUGGGCAAUGGGCGAAAGCCUGACCCAGCCAUGCCGCGUGGAGGAUGAAGGCCUUCGGGUCGUAAACUCCUUUUCUGAGGGAAGAGCAGUCGGUGGAGGAAAUGCCAUCGGCCUGACGGUACCUCAGGAAUAAGCAACGGCCAACUCCGUGCCAGCAGACGCGGUAAUACGGAGGUUGAGAGCGUAGUACGGAAUUACUGGGCGUAAAGGGAGCGCAGGCGGCCAAGUAAGUCUGAAGUGAAAUCCCGGGGCUCAAGCCAGGACGUGCUUUGGAUACUGCUUGGCUUGAGUACGGGAGAGGAGAGCGGAAUUCCAGGUGUAGCGGUAAAAUGCGUAGAUGUCUGGAGGAACACCGGUGGCGAAAGCGGAUCUCUGACCCGAUACUGACGCUGAGGCUCGAAAGCGUGGGUAGCGAACAGGAUUAGAUACCCUGGUAGUCCACGCUGUAAGCGUUGUGCAACUAGGUGUGGGAGGUAUCGACCCCUGCCGGGCCGUAGCUAACGCAUUAAGGUGCACCGCCUGGGGAGUACGGUCGCAAGACUGAAACUCAAAAGGAAUUGACGGGGGCCCCGCACAAGCGGUGGAGCAUGUGGUCUAAUUCGAGGCAACGCGAAGAACCUUACCCAGACUCGACGUCCCAGGAAUCCCUUGGAAACAAGGGAGUGCCCUUCGGGGAGCCUGGUGACAGGUGCUGCAUGGCUGUCGUCAGCUCGUGUCGUGAGAUGUUGGGUUAAGUCCCGCAACGAGCGCAACCCCUGUUCUCAGUUACCAGCGGUUCGGCCGGGCACUCUGAGGAGACUGCCGCUGAUAAAGCGGAGGAAGGUGGGGACGACGUCAAGUCAUCAUGGCCCUUACGUCUGGGGCUACACACGUGCUACAAUGGCCGGUACAAAGGGUUGCGAUACCGCGAGGUGGAGCCAAUCCCAAAAAGCCGGUCUCAGUUCAGAUUGGAGUCUGCAACUCGACUCCAUGAAGGCGGAAUCGCUAGUAAUCGCGUAUCAGCAAUGACGCGGUGAAUACGUUCCCGGGCCUUGUACACACCGCCCGUCACAUGACCCGAGUCGGGUGCACCCGAAGUCGCUGGCCCAAC